UACGGGGGGGGCAAGCGUUGUUCGGAAUUACUGGGCGUAAAGGGCGCGUAGGCGGCCUUCUAAGUCGGACGUGAAAUCCCUCGGCUCAACCGGGGAACUGCGUCCGAUACUGGAGGGCUUGAAUCCGGGAGAGGGAUGUGGAAUUCCAGGUGUAGCGGUGAAAUGCGUAGAUAUCUGGAGGAACACCGGUGGCGAAGGCGGCAUCC
rnacentral:rRNA from 1 species